GUCUCUAUCAACGCAACUCAACUCAAAUAUAUUUAUAGAGCACUUUAAAACAACCACCACUGUAUACAAAGUGCCGAACAUGGACCAAGAAUAAUUCAUACAACAAUUCAUUCAUUCAUUCAUCUUCCAAGCCGCUUGAUCCUCACUAGGGUCGCGGGGGGUGCUGGAGCCUAUCCCAGCUGUCUUCGGGCAGUAGGCGGGGGACACCCUGAAUCGGUUGCCAGCCAAUCGCAGGGCACACAGAAACGAACAACCAUUCGCACUCACACUCACACCUAGGGACAAUUUAGCGUGUUCAAUCAGCCUGCCACGCAUGUUUUUGGAAUGUGGGAGGAAACCGGAGCACCCGGAGAAAACCCACGCAGGCCCGGGGAGAACAUGCAAACUCCACACAGGGAGGCCGGAGCUGGAAUCGAACCCGGUACCUCUGCACUGUGAAGCCGACGUGCUAACCACUGGACGACCGGGCCGCCCUCAUACAACAAUAAAACAAUAAAUUAAUAAGGUAGACAGCAGAAAGUACUAACACAGUAAAACUAAAAAUCAAGUAUGAGCCAAAAACCAAAGAAUAAAAAUGAGUUUUAAGACGAGUUUUAAAGAUGGGAGUUCGCAGUAAAUCCGGAACAACGGGAAAAACAACCUCUAAUACUGUCUGGUCCACGGACACGAGGCACUGGGCAAGAGUAUAGGGGCGGAGGAACUCAGACAGUUAAUGUGGGGCGAGGCGAAGAUUUAGAAAAACAAAUAAUAGAGUCUUGAAAAUUACUCUAAAAUGUAUAGGGAACCAAUGAAGUGAUGCCAGGGAAGGAAUUAUUUGCUGCCUUUUAGGAGUACCAGUCAAGACGCAAGCAGCAGCAUUUUCGACCACCUGGAGAUGCUUAAUGGAGGAUUGGCUAAAAUGCAUGACAGUAAUCCAGCCGAGAUGUGAUGAAGGCAUGAAUUACUGUUUCAUAGUACUCUUGAGAAAGGAGAGGCUUUACUUUAGCCAGCUACAUAAGAUGAAAAAAAAGCUGUAUUUAACUACAGCACCUAUUUGCUGAUCCAAUUUAAAAUCACUGUCUAGUUUAAAACCCUCUCAGGGCAGGCGAUGCUAUUUUGCAACAACUAAAUUCUAAUCCCCUAAUUAAUCCACGUUCAUAUUUUAUGAGCCCUUUUUCCUCAAAAGUACCACUGCAGACCUUCGUUGUGCAUGAGCAACAAAGAGUUUCCCCAAUAGCUCACUAGAUAGCGAGUUUUCUCACUUUCAACAUGCCUUCCUUCUUGGGUACUCAUGAAAGGAUUUUCUAGGCAUCCAUUUCAUAAUUGUAUUAUUACCAAUCUCCUUUAUUUUGAAACCAAUACUGUAUAAGAUGAAUCAUGACAGUAUAGAGAUACAGUAUAUGCCAAUUUGUAGAUUUUAUCUCCUCUGGGUUUUCCCCCAGGGGCAGCUCAAUUUCAUUGUUGCAGCUUUGCAACGUUUGGCCGGACUAGUACCAAUGGAUGCCACAUGCUUUGUCUUCUAGUUUACCUAUAUUUUGAGCAACAAUCUAUACAAGGGGUAUUUUCCUAUCACCAGUGUUUACUUAUUGAUUUGAGUUGUCAUUGAGGGUGCAUCCUAUGGAAAAUGAAAUAAUUUGGAUUGAAGUUACACACUAUAAGAGGCAGAUUUGAUCAAACACAAUGGCAUAAUGCGAUGCUCAUUUGACUGUUCAGUGAGAAAAACUGAUGUCGCCUAAAUUCCAUUGCACAUAUUAUCUUAGUAUAUAUCUUUGUUGGACUGGAAUCUUUUUUAGUAAACUAGCUUGCAGAAUACUGUGGUUGCAGGUUUGUGAUGCGUUAUGGCAGGCCGACAAAGAUCUUACUCACUCAAGGAAGCCAUUGAAAUGUUUUGCCUUCCCGAUGGUGCUUUAUCUGAGAACGAAUCCAUUUCAGACGAUGAAAUUGGUAAUCCAGAUUUUGUUGAACCUGUUGAAGCAUACUAGUCUGACUUCAGCCUUGAUGAUGAUGAGACACUGGGAGCAAUAGCAAUCCCUAAUCCAAAUACACUUGAUGUUGAAUUCAUAACGUACAUGCAGACAAUGACACUGAGGUUCCAGAUGAUGAUGAGCCUAAGCCCGGCCCAGCUCCUCUAAACAAAGUUUUUUCUUGGAGGCAGAGGAAACCCCCAGCAGAUGACAGACACCCUUCAUUACAAGGACCUGCAUUCUCACCUCCACAAGAUGAAAUACCAAGUCCAAAGUGGUAUUUUGAUCGGUUCAUGGAUGAAUCUGCGUUUGACCUUAUUUCUGACCAAUCAAACCUGUGUGCUGUUAUAUAAUACAAUACAAUACAUGCUGAUUUAUAUAGCGCUUUCACAACAGCGGCAGCUGUAACAAAGCGCUUAACAAAACAGUUAACAUAAAGUAAAAUAAUAAACACAACACAUAACAUAAAACACGGACAGCCGUGCAGUCCUAACCACUUUUUCAUCACACGCUUUGUUGUUUGAAGCAGUUUGAGAUGAAAGAGGAGAGAAUCAAAGUGUCCUUUAACCAGUGGUUAUGAAGAAUGGCCCAGAACUAAAAACAACCCCUUCAGUUGAGGUCAGACAAGACCGAUUCGAUCAUUUUCCCAUCCAUGCUGAUAAACGUGGACGAUGUAGUGUGCGCAAAAUGACUACACACAAAUGGUCUGUCUGAAGUAUUUUUGUGCUUUACAAAUUGUUGUCAGACCUGUCCUUCUCAAUUAGGAUCUGAGACGUCAAUAUUAUUAUAGGUAUUAUAUCUCAAUAUUGUUUGAUGUAGGGGAUGAAAAGUUAUUAAUAUUGUUCCUAAUCUAUACCAAGUUGUUUUUGUUGUUAUUCUUCCACUUUAAAGUACCUUGAAACAUUGUUUUCAAUUGUUUUAUGCAAAUUCAGUUAGUUUUCACACCAAAUUGAGUUUUUGGCUUUAAUUUACCACACCGGGCCAAUGUUGUCAACCUGCAACAUCCCAGAAUACAUUACAUGUGAAGCUUUUCCUAAAAAAAAAAAGUCUGAAUUGUGUACUACUACCCCAUAUGACAAUCUUCCCCAAAUAUCACACUUUUCCUGUGACAAAAACUUAAUUUGAGCAUGAGAGGGUUAAAAUCCAAGUUUGAGACUGUUUGUUUUAGAUACGGAGACAGGGGGGGCCCAAGUCCGCAGCUGGGAUGGCCAAGGGCCACUGGGACCAAACACCAUCACUUCCGUAUUUUUUUCAUUGAAAUUCAAGAAAUUCAAUGCAGACAAGCUAUUGGUUUCCUUUCAAUAGGAAACAAGUGGACUCAAUGAGAAAGUGUAUUUUUUUUGCAUAGAUCUGACAGUCAUCCACAUUCCUUAAAAUGGAACCCAAAGUGAGCAGAUACAAUGAAAACAGCAGAGACCCCAGAAUUGCACCCUGUGGAACACCACAUGACAGUGGGGCAGUUCAUGAAUCAGAGCAACCAAGGCUAACACAUAAAAUACUGUCAGCCAAAAUAGGCCUGAAACAACGCAAGUGCACUACUAAUGUCCAAGGUGCUGCAAAUGAGAAUACUGUGAUCCACCAUAUCCAAUUUUGCAGUUAAAUCCAAUAAAACCAGGCACACAUUGUCUCCAGUGUCAUUUGCCAGGAGGAUGUAAUGAAAAAAUUCUAACAGGGCUCACUCUGUGCUAUUACCGUAUUUUCACGACUAUAAGGCGCCAUUAAAAGUCUAAAAUUUUCUCCAAAAUGGACAGGACGCCUUAUAAUGCGAGCGUCUUUUGUAUGAGCUGAGUUCCAAAACCUGGCUGAGAGCCGACACGCUGUUUAUAUAGAGAAAAGGUGGAAGUGAGUGACGACAGGCAUGCGGCGAAGAGGUCGGCCAAUCAGUGAAGGGCGUCCGUGUAUAUAUAUGUAAAUAUAUGGAGAGAGAGAGAGAAAAGGUGUACGUGAGUGACGACAGGCAUGCGGCGAAGAGGUCGGCCAAUCAGUGAAGGGCGUCCGUGUAUAUAUAUAAAUAUA